rnacentral:rRNA from 1 species
CCUACGGGAGGCUGCAGUGAGGAAUAUUGGUCAAUGGGCGGGAGCCUGAACCAGCCAAGUCGCGUGCAGGAAGACGGCUCUAUGAGUUGUAAACUGCUUUUGUACGAGGGUAAACGCAGAUACGCGUAUCUGUCUGAAAGUAUCGUACGAUUAAGGAACGGCUAACUCCGUGCCAUCAGCCGCGGUCAUACGGAGGAUUCAAGCGUUAUCCGGAUUUACUGGGUUUAAAGGGUGCGUAGGCGGUCGGAUAAGUUAGAGGUGAAAUCCCGAGGCUCAACUUCGGAAUUGCCUCUGAUACUGUUCGGCUAGAGAGUAGUUGUGGUAGGCGGAAUGUAUGGUGUAGCAGUGAAAUGCUUAGAGAUCAUACAGAACACCGAUUGCGAAGGCAGCUUACCAAGCUACUUCUGACGUUGAGGCACGAAAGCGUGGGGAGCAAACAGGAUUAGAUACCCGAGUAGUC